rnacentral:rRNA from 1 species
UACGAAGGGGGCUAGCGUUGCUCGGAAUCACUGGGCGUAAAGCGCACGUAGGCGGCUCUUUAAGUCAGAGGUGAAUCCUGGGGCUCAACCCCAGAACUGCCUUUGAUACCGAGGAGCUUGAGUCCGGGAGAGGUGAGUGGAACUGCGAGUGUAGAGGUGAAAUUCGUAGAUAUUCGCAAGAACACCAGUGGCGAAGGCGGCUCACUGGCCCGGCACUGACGCUGAGGUGCGAAAGCGUGGGGAGC